rnacentral:rRNA from 1 species
GAUGAACGCUGGCGGCGUGCCUAAUACAUGCAAGUCGAGCGAACGGACGAGAAGCUUGCUUCUCUGAUGUUAGCGGCGGACGGGUGAGUAACACGUGGAUAACCUACCUAUAAGACUGGGAUAACUUCGGGAAACCGGAGCUAAUACCGGAUAAUAUUUUGAACCGCAUGGUUCAAAAGUGAAAGACGGUCUUGCUGUCACUUAUAGAUGGAUCCGCGCUGCAUUAGCUAGUUGGUAAGGUAACGGCUUACCAAGGCAACGAUGCAUAGCCGACCUGAGAGGGUGAUCGGCCACACUGGAACUGAGACACGGUCCAGACUCCUACGGGAGGCAGCAGUAGGGAAUCUUCCGCAAUGGGCGAAAGCCUGACGGAGCAACGCCGCGUGAGUGAUGAAGGUCUUCGGAUCGUAAAACUCUGUUAUUAGGGAAGAACAUAUGUGUAAGUAACUGUGCACAUCUUGACGGUACCUAAUCAGAAAGCCACGGCUAACUACGUGCCAGCAGCCGCGGUAAUACGUAGGUGGCAAGCGUUAUCCGGAAUUAUUGGGCGUAAAGCGCGCGUAGGCGGUUUUUUAAGUCUGAUGUGAAAGCCCACGGCUCAACCGUGGAGGGUCAUUGGAAACUGGAAAACUUGAGUGCAGAAGAGGAAAGUGGAAUUCCAUGUGUAGCGGUGAAAUGCGCAGAGAUAUGGAGGAACACCAGUGGCGAAGGCGACUUUCUGGUCUGUAACUGACGCUGAUGUGCGAAAGCGUGGGGAUCAAACAGGAUUAGAUACCCUGGUAGUCCACGCCGUAAACGAUGAGUGCUAAGUGUUAGGGGGUUUCCGCCCCUUAGUGCUGCAGCUAACGCAUUAAGCACUCCGCCUGGGGAGUACGACCGCAAGGUUGAAACUCAAAGGAAUUGACGGGGACCCGCACAAGCGGUGGAGCAUGUGGUUUAAUUCGAAGCAACGCGAAGAACCUUACCAAAUCUUGACAUCCUUUGACAACUCUAGAGAUAGAGCCUUCCCCUUCGGGGGACAAAGUGACAGGUGGUGCAUGGUUGUCGUCAGCUCGUGUCGUGAGAUGUUGGGUUAAGUCCCGCAACGAGCGCAACCCUUAAGCUUAGUUGCCAUCAUUAAGUUGGGCACUCUAAGUUGACUGCCGGUGACAAACCGGAGGAAGGUGGGGAUGACGUCAAAUCAUCAUGCCCCUUAUGAUUUGGGCUACACACGUGCUACAAUGGACAAUACAAAGGGCAGCGAAACCGCGAGGGUCAGCAAAUCCCCAUAAGUUGUUCUCAGUUUCGAUUGUAGUCUGCAACUCGACUACAUGAAGCUGGAAUCGCUAGUAAUCGUAGAUCAGCAUGCUACGGUGGAUACGUUUCCCGGGUCU